rnacentral:rRNA from 1 species
CGUUAGCGGCGGACGGGUGAGUAACACGUGGGUAACCUACCUAUAAGACUGGGAUAACUUCGGGAAACCGGAGCUAAUACCGGAUAAUAUUUCGAACCGCAUGGUUCGAUAGUGAAAGAUGGUUUUGCUAUCACUUAUAGAUGGACCCGCGCCGUAUUAGCUAGUUGGUAAGGUAACGGCAUACCAAGGCGACGAUACGUAGCCGACCUGAGAGGGUGAUCGGCCACACUGGAACUGAGACACGGUCCAGACUCCUACGGGAGGCAGCAGAC